rnacentral:sRNA from 1 species
AUAUAGAUUGCUAUACAAUAUUCAAAUACUAUCGAUAAACAUUUAUUUUUGUAUCUUACACCCGCCUAAAUAGGCGGGCCUUAUCUAGUAUAAUAUAAAACCAUAAACUAUAUCAUAAUCUAUCUAGACCGAGUCAACAAUUAUUAA